rnacentral:rRNA from 1 species
UACGGGGGGAGCAAGCGUUGUUCGGAUUUACUGGGCGUAAAGCGCGUGUAGGCGGCUCGAUAAGUCGGAUGUGAAAGCCCUGGGCUCAACCUAGGAAGUGCAUUCGAAACUGCUGAGCUUGAGUUCUGGAGAGGAAGGCGGAAUUCUCGGUGUAGAGGUGAAAUUCGUAGAUAUCGAGAGGAACACCGGUGGCGAAGGCGGCCUUCUGGACAGCAACUGACGCUGAGACGCGAAAGCGUGGGGAGCAAACAGG